rnacentral:rRNA from 1 species
GAUGAACGCUAGCGGCAGGCCUAAUACAUGCAAGUCGAACGGAUUUUGGUUUUCGGACCAGGAUUAGUGGCGCACGGGUGCGUAACGCGUACACAACAUACCCUUUACUGGGGAAUAGCGGUGGGAAACUGCCAGUAAUACCCCAUGACCUUGCGGAUUGGCAUCGAUGUGCAAGGAAAAUUACGAUGGUAAAGGAUUGGUGUGCGUCCGAUUAGCUAGUUGGCGGGGUAACGGCCCACCAAGGCGACGAUCGGUAGGGGGUGUGAGAGCAUGGCCCCCCACACGGGUACUGAGACACGGACCCGACUCCUACGGGAGGCAGCAGUAAGGAAUAUUGGACAAUGGACGGAAGUCUGAUCCAGCCAUGCCGCGUGAAGGAAGAAGGCGCUCAGCGUUGUAAACUUCUUUUGGAUGGGAACAAUACUGUCGACGUGAUCGGCAAUUGAGGGUACCAUCAGAAUAAGCACCGGCUAACUCCGUG